rnacentral:sRNA from 1 species
AAUGAAAUAUAUUGGAAUAAUAUUAUACUC